rnacentral:rRNA from 1 species
AGGAAGGUAGUGUAGUUAACACCUGCAUUAUUUGACGUUACCUACAGAAGAAGCACCGGCUAACUCCGUGCCAGCAGCCGCGGUAAUACGGGAGGGUGCGAGCGUUAAUACGGAAUUACGUGGGACGUAAAGCGCAUGCAGGCGGCCUGUUAAGUCAGAUGUAGAAAGGCCCGGGGACUUUAACCGUACGGUAAUUGCUAUUUAGUAAACUGGCGAGGCUAGAGUCUUGUAGAGGGGGGUAGGAAUUUCAGGUGUAGCGGUGAAAUGCGUAGAGAUCUGAAGGAAUACCAGUGGCGAAGGCGGCCCCCUGGACAAAGACUGACGCUCAGAUGCGAAAGCGUGGGGAGCAAACAGGAUUAGAUACCCUGGUAG